AUUGAACGCUGGCGGCAUGCCUUACACAUGCAAGUCGAACGGCAGCAUGGAAGAGCUUGCUCUUCUGAUGGCGAGUGGCGAACGGGUGAGUAAAGCAUCGGAACGUACCGUGUAGUGGGGGAUAACGUAGCGAAAGUUACGCUAAUACCGCAUACGCACUGAGGUGGAAAGCAGGGGAUCGCAAGACCUUGCGCUAUACGAGCGGCCGAUGUCAGAUUGGCUAGUUGGUAGGGUAAAGGCCUACCAAGGCGACGAUCUGUAGCGGGUCUGAGAGGAUGAUCCGCCACACUGGGACUGAGACACGGCCCAGACUCCUACGGGAGGCAGCAGUGGGGAAUUUUGGACAAUGGGGGAAACCCUGAUCCAGCCAUGCCGCGUGAGUGAAGAAGGCCUUCGGGUUGUAAGGCUCUUUCGGCUGGGAAGAAAUCGCACAGGCUAAUACUCUGUGUGGAUGACGGUACCAGCACAAGAAGCACCGGCUAACUACGUGCCAGCCGCCGCAGUAA
rnacentral:rRNA from 1 species